UCUCCGUAGGUGAACCUGCGGAGGGAUCAUUACCGAGCUCAUGCCCUUACGGGUAGAUCUUCCACCCUGUGUUAUUAUUACCUUUAUUGCUUUGGCGGGCCGCCAGGCUCCGGUCAGGCUAUCGGCUUCGGCUGGUAAGCGCCCGCCAGAGGACCCUAUAUCCUGAUUAUUAGUGUCGUCUGAGUACUAUAUAAUAGUUAAAACUUUCAACAACGGAUCUCUUGGUUCUG
rnacentral:misc_RNA from 1 species